rnacentral:rRNA from 1 species
CGCUGGCGGCGUGCCUAAUACAUGCAAGUCGAACGAACGGAUAAAGAGCUUGCUCUUUUGAAGUUAGUGGCGGACGGGUGAGUAACACGUGGGUAACCUGCCUCACAGCUGGGGAUAACAUCGAGAAAUCGAUGCUAAUACCGAAUGUGCUGAACAUCAUAAGAUGUUCAAGUGAAAGACGGUUUCGGCUGUCACUGUGAGAUGGACCCGCGCUGGAUUAGCUAGUUGGUAAGGUAAUGGCUUACCAAGGCGACGAUCCAUAGCCGACCUGAGAGGGUGAUCGGCCACAUUGGGACUGAGACACGGCCCAAACUCCUACGGGAGACAGCAGUAGGGAAUCUUCGGCAAUGGACGAAAGUCUGACCGAGCAACGCCGCGUGAGCGAAGAAGGCCUUCGGGUCGUAAAGCUCUGUUGUUAGAGAAGAACAUGGGUGAGAGUAACUGUUCACCCCUUGACGGUAUCUAACCAGAAAGCCACGGCUAACUACGUG